UACGGAGGGUGCAAACGUUGUUCGGAAUUACUGGGCGUAAAGGGCGCGUAGGCGGCCUUCUAAGUCGAACGUGAAAUCCCUGGGCUCAACCCAGGAACUGCGUCCGAUACUGGAAGGCUUGAAUCCGGGAGAGGGAUGCGGAAUUCCAGGUGUAGCGGUGAAAUGCGCAGAUAUCGGGAAGAACACCCGUGGCGAAGGCGGCUCUCUGGGACGGUACUGACGCUGAGACGCGAAAGCCAGGGGAGCAAACGGG
rnacentral:rRNA from 1 species